rnacentral:rRNA from 1 species
AUUGAACGCUGGCGGCAGGCCUAACACAUGCAAGUCGAGCGAGCGGCGGACGGGUGAGUAAUGUAUGGGGACUGCCCGAUAGAGGGGGAUAACUACUGGAAACGGUAGCUAAUACCGCAUACUAUCGGAUAACCCAUAUGGGAUUAGCUAGUAGGGGAGGUACUGGCUCACCUAGGCGACGAUCCCUAGCUGGUCUGAGAGGAUGAUCAGCAAAACGGGGACUGAGAAAGGGCACGGACUCCUAGGGAGGCAGAAGUGGGGAAUAUGGCACAAUGGGCGCAAGCCUGAUGCAGCCAUGCCGCGUGUAUGAAGAAGGCCCUAGGGGUGUAAAGUACUUUCAGUCGGGAGGCGUUACCGACAGAAGAAGCACCGGCUAACUCCGUGCCAGCCGCCGCGGUAUAC